AACGAACGCUGGCGGCAUGCCUAACACAUGCAAGUCGAACGAGACCUUCGGGUCUAGUGGCGCACGGGUGCGUAACGCGUGGGAACCUGCCCUUAGGUUCGGAAUAACUCCCCGAAAGGGGUGCUAAUACCGGAUAAUGUCUUCGGACCAAAGAUUUAUCGCCUUUGGGUGGGCCCGCGUUGGAUUCGCUAGUUGGUAGGGGAAAAGCCUACCAAGGGGACGAUCCAUAGCUGGUCUGAGAGGAGGAUCAGCCAGACUGGGACUGAGACACGGCCCAGACUCCUACGGGAAGCAGCAGUGGGGAAUAUUGGACGAUGGGCGAAAGCCUGAUACAGCAAUGCCGCGUGAGUGAUGAAGGCCUUAGGGUUGUAAAGCUCUUUUACACGGGAUGAUAAUGACAGUAACGGGAGAAUAAGCUCCGGCUAACUACGUG
rnacentral:rRNA from 1 species